rnacentral:rRNA from 1 species
CCUUACGGGCGGUGUGUGCAACUGACGCUGAGGCUCGAAAGUGUGGGUAUCAAACAGGAUUAGAUACCCUGGUAGUCCACACAGUAAACGAUGAAUACUCGCGGUUGGUUCGAUAGAGUCAGCCGCCAAGCGAAAGCGUUAAGUAUUCCACCUGGGGAGUACGCCGGCAACGGUGAAACCCAAAGGAAUUGACGGGGGCCCGCACAAGCGGAGGAACAUGUGGUUUAAUUCGAUGAUACGCGAGGAACCUUACCCGGGCUUGAACUGCCAGUGACUCAUGCAGAGACGCAUGUUUCUUCGGACACUGGCGGAGGUGCUGCAUGGUUGUCGUCAGCUCGUGCCGUGAGGUGUCGGCUUAAGUGCCAUAACGAGCGCAACCCUUCUCCCUGUUUGCCAUCGGGUUAAGCCGGGCACUCCAGGGACACUGCCAUCGUAAGAUGUGAGGAAGGUGGGGAUGACGUCAAAUCAGCACGGCCCUUACGUCCGGGGCUACACACGUGUUACAAUGGGCGGUACAGAAAGCAGCUACCCCGCGAGGGGAUGCCAAUCUCAAAAACCGUUCUCAGUUCGGACUGGAGUCUGCAACCCGACUCCACGAAGCUGGAUUCGCUAGUAAUCGCGCAUCAGCCAUGGCGCGGUGAAUACGUUCCCGGGCCUUGCACACACCGCCCGUA